rnacentral:rRNA from 1 species
UACAGGGGGUGCAACCGUUGCUCGGAAUCAUUGGGCGUAAAGCGCACGUAGGCGGUUCGUUAUGUCGGAUGUGAAAGCCCUUGGCUUAACCGAGGAAGUGCAUCCGAAACUGGCGAGCUAGAGUACGAAAGAGGAUCGCGGAAUUCCCGGUGUAGAGGUGAAAUUCGUAGAUAUCGGGAGGAACACCGGUGGCGAAGGCGGCGAUCUGGGUCGAUACUGACGCUGAGGCGCGAAAGCGUGGGGAGCAAACAGG